CCUACGGGUGGCAGCAGUGAGGAAUAUUGGUCAAUGGACGAGAGUCUGAACCAGCCAAGUAGCGUGAAGGAUGACUGCCCUAUGGGUUGUAAACUUCUUUUAUAAAGGAAUAAAACGAGGCACGUGUGCCUUUUUGCAUGUACUUUAUGAAUAAGGAUCGGCUAACUCCGUGCCAGCAGCCGCGGUAAUACGGAGGAUCCGAGCGUUAUCCGGAUUUAUUGGGUUUAAAGGUAGCGUAGAUGGGUUGUUAAGUCAGUUGUGAAAGUUUGCGGCUCAACCGUAAAAUUGCAAUUGAUACUGGCAGUCGUGAGUACAGUUGAGGUAGGCGGAAUUCGUGGUGUAGCGGUGAAAUGCUUAGAUAUCACGAAGAACCCCGAUUGCGAAGGCAGCUUACUAAACUGUGACUGACAUUGAUGCUCGAAAGUGUGGGUAUCAAACAGGAUUAGAUACCCCAGUAGUC
rnacentral:rRNA from 1 species